rnacentral:rRNA from 1 species
UGCGAGCGAACAGGGAAGAGCCCAGCACCGAAUCCCGCGGCCGAUAUCGGACGCCGGGAAAUGUGGUGUUAGGGAGGAUCCGUUUAUCCCGAGGUCGUGCGGUGCGUCCAAGUCCUUCUUGAACGGGGCCACAGCCCAUAGAGGGUGCCAGGCCCGUAGUGACCGCUGCCGAUCGCGGGAGGAUCUCUCCUCAGAGUCGGGUUGCUUGAGAGUGCAGCCCUAAGUGGGUGGUAAACUCCAUCUAAGGCUAAAUAUGACCACGAGACCGAUAGCGAACAAGUACCGUGAGGGAAAGUUGAAAAGCACUUUGAAGAGAGAGUUCAAGAGUACGUGAAACCGUUCAGGGGUAAACCUGAGAAGCCCGAAAGGUCGAAUGGGGAAAUUCAUUCGCGUUUCGGCCGUCGGCGUUGGAUGGUCGCGUGACGGAUGGCGUACGCGUCGUCCGCGCCUUCCGUUCAUCGAACCGGCGUCGAACGCGUGCACUUUUCCCCUAGUAGGACGUCGCGAUCCGUUGGGUGUCGGUCUACGGCUCGCGGUGGAGCCCGUGCGGUCGUUUCGGCGUAUCGCACGGACCCGUGGUGUCCCGGCCGACCCGCUCGACGGUAUACAGAUGGCGCGGGGCCGCUACACAGUUAGCGUUCGGC